GUUUGAUUAUAUUUGGGUAUGGGUGAUAUUUACUUGAGAUUUAUUGUGUAGGGUUUGUUAUUUGAGGAGAAAACGAGGCUGGGUUCUACACCACCGAGUUGCCACAACAAGUGCAACAGAUGCCACCCAUGCAUGGCAGUUCAAGUGCCUGCAGUACCAAGUCACAGCAGAGUCCAGCCGGGUUUAGCCAAAAGCAUGGAGUUCUUGGACCCAUAUCCUUCGCCUUCAGGUAACAGGUACUCAAAUUAUAAGCCACUCGGUUGGAAGUGUUGCUGUGAUGGCCAUUUUUACAAUCCUUAAAUCUUCAAAGAGCAAAGUGAAACGGCGAUACGUGCUUUUGAAUAAUUUUUCUUCUCUCUUUUUUGCUUUUGAAUGUUGGAUUCUUUAGAGAUGUAAAUUUGUUACCGUUAGUUGUACAUUUAAACUUCAUAUAAUGUAUUCUAAUCUUGAGAAG
rnacentral:misc_RNA from 1 species